CGGGAACACAGCCGAUGAUCUCAGGAAAGACAAGAAUGCCAGCACAGGGCAGAUCCUCUCCUUGUUGCUGGCAGGGAAAAAAAAGGCUUUCAAGAAUGUCUCUGGUGAAACAAUACCAAUACCCUGCUACUUGCUGCUCCUAGCACUCAAACUGCCAGUGGGGAUCAAUACUUCUGUGAAAUCUUGUAUUACACUUGCACAAUUCCAAGGAUGGACCAGCCUCUCCUAGUGUGUUGGUGGGUUUGAAGAACACAGGUAUGUGGCAUUUUCCAAAUAUCCGUUUUAGUUUCUCCAAUAAAGCCAGUGGGGUAAGGAAUGACCAGAUUUUUCUGUUGACUUUGAGUCUCAGCUUUGCCUGCAAUUCUUUUGUUGGAUCCAAAUGCUGAUUUAAUAAAAGUCCAAUUUGGAUGCACGCUGGCUUUAAGAAUUGCCAGGUGCCUAUUUUACUUCUUUUAGGCAUGCCUGGUGGUGGGGAUGUUUUCUGUCCUGUGAUGUAGUGUCCCAAUGACUCCUCUAUUUUGUGUUGAAAUGUAUGGUGAGAAUCAAACAGCAGAUAUUGGCAUCUGUGUAUGGGUUUCCUAUAGAUCUCUAUUUCUAGGAUGCCAAUGGUUCCAAUCAGAACCUCACUCUAGGAAUGCCAGCCUGUUGUCCUUGGUGUCUUACCAAGUCUUGGUGUUACUUGAUGUUUUAAUCCAGUGUCUGUAUGGUCUGUGAAAGCCUGUACUUCCUGGAUCUAGAUUUCUACACAGGUGACUGCAUUGCUUGGGGACAAAAAUCUCUGCAGUUCCUAUUGAGCAAGCACCUCCUUGCAAGUUCCUGCCAGCUUCCAACAAUCAAAGUCAACAGAGAAGCUGGCAGGAAGUUGCAAGUCCCAGGUGACUUGCAAGCCAGGCCAGCAUGUAGGUAAAUGGCUGCUGCCAGGUGGGAGAGAUUGUGUGAGUGAUGGGGGAGGUGCAGUGUUAGUGUAGCAGGUCUGCUGGGUUGUCCAGAACUUGAAGGAGCCACCAUAACUACAUUGUAAAUUCAAAUGGUCACUGAACAAGUCACUGUAAACCAAGGACUACCUGUAGAUACUUCUCAGAAUCCAAGGAAGUUGAGGUAUCAUAUAUCAAUAAUAUUUAUCCUCUCUUUGCCUGAUUAGAUGGACUGUUCAGUGGGCUAGGAUGGGAUGUACUUAAGCUUUUAUUGCUGGUCUUACUUGCUCUGAUGAUUUUUAUCCUAAAUAUUUUUUUCAGUGAAACAGGAUCAUCAAA